rnacentral:rRNA from 1 species
CACCGCGGUUAUACGAGAGGCCCAAGUUGACAGAUACCGGCGUAAAGAGUGGUUAAGUUGAAACUUAAACUAAAGCCAAACAUCUUCAAGACUGUUAUACGUACCCGAAGGCAGGAAACUCAACCACGAAAGUAACUUUAUUUAAUCUGACCCCACGAAAGCUACGGCA